GCAAGGCGGUGGGCGGGGCAGCCAGCAGCAAGUAUCGCGAGAACUCGUGUGGCGGAAAGGAAAGUCGGAGCGUGGUGCGGGCGGCAGUCCGGGAGGACGGCAGGAAACCGGGAGGCCGCUCCGGCUGCAGCGCGGGACGGGCGCGCACACCCGAAACCGAUUGGCGGACAACACGGAGGUGGCGAAAGUGUGGGACUCCUGCCUUCCAAGCAGUUUCCUGUUCUCCGUGAAUAAUCCCACCUGGAGUAUCCUGCAGAACCUUCAUGUUCAUCUACUAGCCUGACACCUGGCCUGCAGGACUCUCUCGCACCUGCAUUCGCCCACAGCCAUGUGGACCCCACAUAAUGGACUAAGGACUAUAAUUAGCCUAAUGCUACACCGGACCCAGUUCUACCAUGGAACGGAAACUCUGGACACUGGCUUCACUCUUAGCUCUUCUGAAUCCCCAGCUGCCCAUCUUCCAGGAUGGCUUAAGGGUAAUGGGACUUCGCAAACCUAGAGAUGUAAUUCCAUGCAAAUAAAGAUUACUCAUCCUCCCGU